UGAAGCCCUUCGGGGUGUAAACCACUGUCAGGGUCUAGGAACACAAUGACCAUACCCAAAGGAGGCACCGGCUAACUCUGUGCCAGCAGCCGCGGUAAUACAGAGGGUGCGAGCGUUAAUCGGAAUCACUGGGCUUAAAGGGUCCGUAGGCGGGACUGCAGGCGUCGAGUGAAAUACCACGGCUCAACCGUGGAACUGCUCGGCGAACCGCAGUUCUUGAGGCGAGUAGAGGCGAUCAGAACGAUAGGUGGAGCGGUGAAAUGCGUAGAUAUCUAUCGGAAUGCCGAAGGUGAAGACAGGUCGCUGGGCUCGUCCUGACGCUGAGGGACGAAAGCGUGGGGAGCAAACGGGAUUAGAUACCCCGGUAGUCCACGCCGUAAACAAUGCGCACUGGGUCGGGGAGGUUUGACGCCUUCCUGGCCGAAGCAAAAGUGUUAAGUGCGCCGCCUGGGGAGUACGGUCGCAAGGCUAAAACUCAAAGGAAUUGACGGGGGCUCACACAAGCGGUGGAGCAUGUGGCUUAAUUCGAGGCUACGCGAAGAACCUUAUCCUAGUCUUGACAUGCUUAAGAACCUGACUGAAAGGUUGGGGUGCCCGAAAGGGAGCUUUUGCACAGGUGCUGCAUGGCUGUCGUCAGCUCGUGUCGUGAGAUGUCGGGUUAAGUCCCUUAACGAGCGAAACCCUUGCCACUAGUUACCAGCGGGUAAAGCCGGGCACUUUAGUGGGACUGCCGUUGUCAAAACGGAGGAAGGUGGGGACGACGUCAAGUCAUCAUGGCCCUUACGCCUGGGGCUACACACGUGCUACAAUGGUCGGUACAGAGGGAAGCAGAGCUGCGAAGUGAAGCGGACCCCAGAAAGCCGACCCCAGUUCGGAUUGCAGGCUGCAACUCGCCUGCAUGAAGUUGGAAUCGCUAGUAAUCGCGGAUCAGCUACGCCGCGGUGAAUAUGUUCCUGAGCCUUGUACACACCGCCCGUCAAGCCACGAAAGCUGAGAGCGCCCGAAGUCGUUAGCCCAACCGUAAGGAGGGCGGCGCCGAAGGCGAACUUGGUGAUUGGGACUAAGUCGUAACAAGGUAGCCGUAGGGGAACCUGCGGCUG
rnacentral:rRNA from 1 species